rfam:Gossypium raimondii chromosome 2, whole genome shotgun sequence.
AACCCAUGGUGACGACACCGUUUCAAUAUAUCUUUGUAUCUCCCCCAUACAUCAUAUAAAGUCUCUAAAUCAAUCUGAACAAAGAAAUAGAUAUCAUUCCUCUACUU